rnacentral:rRNA from 1 species
AGUGAACGCUGGCGGUAGGCCUAACACAUGCAAGUCGAACGGCAGCACAGUAAGAGCUUGCUCUUACGGGUGGCGAGUGGCGGACGGGUGAGGAAUACAUCGGAAUCUACUUUUUCGUGGGGGUUAACGUAGGGAAACUUACGCUAAUACCGCAUACGACCUUCGGGUGAAAGCAGGGGAUAUUUGGACCUUGCGCGAUUGAAUGCGCCGAUGUCGGAUUUGCUAGUUGGGGGGGUAAUGGCCAACCAAGGCGACGAUCCGUGGCCGGUGUGAGAGGAUGAUCAGCCACACUGGAACGGAGACACGGUCCAGGCUCCUACGGGAGGCAGCAGUGGGGAAUAGUGGACAAUGGGCGCAAGCCUGAUCCAGCCAGACCGCGUGGGUGAAGGAGGCCUUCGGGUUGUAAAGCCCUUUUGUUGGUAAAGAAAAGCAGCAGGUUAAUACCCCGCUGUUCUGACGGUACCCAAAGAAUAAGCACCGGCUAACUUCGUG